rnacentral:rRNA from 1 species
AAUCAACGCUGGCGGCGUGCCUCAGACAUGCAAGUCGAACGAUUAAGACUUCCUUCGGGAAGUGUAUAAAGUGGCGCACGGGUGAGUAACACGUAGGUAAUGUGCCUUUGGGUGGGGAAUAACUUAGGGAAACUUAAGCUAAUACCGCAUAAUGCAGCGGCUCGACAUCGAGACAGUUGUUAAAGGAGUAAUCCGCCUAAAGAGCAGCCUGCGGCAGAUUAGCUAGUUGGUAAGGUAAUGGCUUACCAAGGCUACGAUCUGUAACCGACCUGAGAGGGUGGUCGGUCACACUGACACUGAAUAACGGGUCAGACUCCUACGGGAGGCGGCAGUCGGGAAUUUUGGGCAAUGGGCGAAAGCCUGACCCAGCAACGCCGCGUGAAGGAUGAAGUAUUUCGGUAUGUAAACUUCGUAAGAAUAGGAAGAAUAAAUGACGGUACUAUUUGUAAGGUCCGGCUAACUACGUGCCAGCCGCCGCAGUAAAAC